GACAAGGGCGGCGAGCGAUGGUCGGGAUCAUUGGGCUUAAAGGGUGCGUAGGCGGCUUCGCAAGUGACCUGUGAAAUCCCACGGCUCAACCGUGGAACUGCUGGGCAAACUGCGAGGCUUGAGGUCGGGAGAGGUGUCUGGAACUCCAGGUGGAGCGGUGAAAUGCUUAGAUCUCUGGAGGACCGCCUGAGGCGAAAGCGGGACACUGGGCCGCUUCAGACGCUGAGGCACGAAAGCGUGGGUAGCAAACAGG
rnacentral:rRNA from 1 species